UCUUAUGGAUGAGCAGAGAAAGUGGUUUCCUGAAAUGGAAUCCACUCUUGACAAAGGUGCUGUGAA
rnacentral:pre_miRNA from 4 species